rnacentral:rRNA from 1 species
AUUGAACGCUGGCGGCAGGCCUAACACAUGCAAGUCGAGCGGAUGAAGGGAGCUUGCUCCUGGAUUCAGCGGCGGACGGGUGAGUAAUGCCUAGGAAUCUGCCUGGUAGUGGGGGAUAACGUCCGGAAACGGGCGCUAAUACCGCAUACGUCCUGAGGGAGAAAGUGGGGGAUCUUCGGACCUCACGCUAUCAGAUGAGCCUAGGUCGGAUUAGCUAGUUGGUGGGGUAAAGGCCUACCAAGGCGACGAUCCGUAACUGGUCUGAGAGGAUGAUCAGUCACACUGGAACUGAGACACGGUCCAGACUCCUACGGGAGGCAGCAGUGGGGAAUAUUGGACAGUUGGCGAAAGCCUGAUCCAGCCAUGCCGCGUGUGUGAAGAAGGUCUUCGGAUUGUAAAGCACUUUAAGUUGGGAGGAAGGUCAGUAAGUUAAUACCUUGCUGUUUUGACGUUACCAACAGAAUAAGCACCGGCUAACUUCGUG